rnacentral:rRNA from 1 species
CCCUUAGAUGUUCUGGGCCGCACGCGCGCUACAAUGAUGAAUUCAACGAGUUUAUAACCUUGGUUGAAAAGCCUGGGUAAUCUUUUGAACUUUCGUCGUGAUGGGGCUAGACCCUUGCAAUUAUUGGUCUCCAACGAGGAAUUCCUAGUAAACGCAAGUCAUCAGCUUGCAUUGAUUACGUCCCUGCCCUUUGUACACACCGCCCGUCGCACCUACCGAUUGAAUGGUCCGGUGAAAUCUUCGGAUUGAGACUUUGUUUUCUUCACGGAAAACGCUGUCUUAAAAAGUUGAUUAAACCUUACCAUUUAGAGGAAGGUGAAGUCGUAACA